rnacentral:misc_RNA from 1 species
AACGCACGAGACCUGCGGACCUGCGGAAGGAUCAUUACCGAGUGCGGGCCCUCUGGGUCCAACCUCCCACCCGUGUUUAUUGUACCUUGUUGCUUCGGCGGGCCCGCCAUUCUGGCCGCCGGGGGGCUUGCCCCCGGGCCCGCGCCCGCCGAAGACACCCUCGAACUCUGUCUGAAGAUUGUAGUCUGAGUGGAAUUAUAAAUUAUUAAAACUUUUAGCAAUGGAUCUCUAGAUCGGAAG